ensembl:snRNA U6 U6 spliceosomal RNA
GUGCUCACUUUGGCAGCAAAUAUACUAAAAUUAGAACAAUACAGAGAUUAGCAAGGCCCCUGCACAAGGAUGACAUGCAAAUUUGUGAAGCGUUCCAUAUUUAA